rnacentral:rRNA from 1 species
CAAGGUUGAAACUCAAAGGAAUUGACGGGGACCCGCACAAGCGGUGGAUGAUGUGGUUUAAUUCGAUGCAACGCGAAAAACCUUACCUACCCUUGACAUGCUAGGAAUCUUGCAGAGAUGUGAGAGUGCUCGAAAGAGAACCUAGACACAGGUGCUGCAUGGCCGUCGUCAGCUCGUGUCGUGAGAUGUUGGGUUAAGUCCCGCAACGAGCGCAACCCUUGUCAUCAGUUGCUACGAAAGGGCACUCUGAUGAGACUGCCGGUGACAAACCGGAGGAAGGUGGGGAUGACGUCAGGUCCUCAUGGCCCUUAUGGGUAGGGCUACACACGUCAUACAAUGGCCGGUACAGAGGGCUGCCAACCCGCGAGGGGGAGCCAAUCCCAGAAAACCGGUCGUAGUCCGGAUCGCAGUCUGCAACUCGACUGCGUGAAGUCGGAAUCGCUAGUAAUCGCGGAUCAGCUUGCCGCGGUGAAUACGUUCCCGGGUCUUGUACACACCGCCCGUCACACCAUGGGAGCGGGUUCUGCCAGAAGUAGUUAGCCUAACCGCAAGGAGGGCGAUUACCACGGCAGGGUUCGUGACUGGGGUG